rnacentral:rRNA from 1 species
UGAGGAAUAUUGGCAAUGCCCGCAAGGGUGACCCAGCAACGCCGCGUGGAGGAUGAAUGUCGUAAGAUUGUAAACUCCUGUUAGAGGGGAAGAAUAGUACCGGUUGGACCGGUAUAUGACUGUACCCUCAGAGAAAGCCCCGGCUAACUACGUGCCAGCAGCCGCGGUAAUACGUAGGGGGCAAGCGUUGUCCGGAUUUACUGGGUGUAAAGGGCGCGCAGGCGGGAUAAAAAGUCAGUGGUGAAAUCCUACAGCUUAACUGUAGAACUGCCUUUGAUACUUUUAUUCUUGAGUUCGGGAGAGAGAGACGGAAUUCCAGGUGUAGUGGUGAAAUACGUAGAUAUCUGGAAGAACACCAGUUGCGAAGGCGGUCUCUUGGUCCGACACUGACGCUGAGGCGCGAAAGCGUGGGGAGCAAACA